AUUGAACGCUGGCGGCAUGCUUUACACAUGCAAGUCGAACGGCAGCGCGGGCUUCGGCCUGGCGGCGAGUGGCGAACGGGUGAGUAAUGCAUCGGAACGUGCCCAGUAGUGGGGGAUAGCCCGGCGAAAGCCGGAUUAAUACCGCAUACGACCUGAGGGUGAAAGCGGGGGACCGAAAGGCCUCGCGCUAUUGGAGCGGCCGAUGUCGGGUUAGCUAGUUGGUGGGGUAAAGGCUUACCAAGGCGACGAUCCGUAGCUGGUCUGAGAGGACGACCAGCCACACGGAGACUGAGACACGUCCCAGACUCCUAGGGGAGGCAGAGGUGGGGAAUUUGGGACAAUGGGGGAAACCCUGAUCCAGCCAUGCGGCGGGCGGGAAGAAGGCCUUCGGGUGGUAAACCGCUUUUGUUGGGGAAGAAAUCCUCUGGGUUAAUACCCCGGGGGGAGGACGGUACCGGAAGAAUAAGCACGGGCUAAUUACGG
rnacentral:rRNA from 1 species